rnacentral:lncRNA from 1 species
UUUCGUUUGAAACCUGUUCCUUACAGUACGCUGUCAUCAGGAGGAAGCUGGAUCUGAUGGAUUUCUUUGUGGUUACGGGUGCCUCUCAGGUUACUCUCCAAGAGGACACAUCCACCUGACAUUCAGAGUGAGGAAAAGAGCAAGAGGCGACGGCUGUGUGAACAGAGAGCUCACCUGCAGGAUCAAAUGCUCUUCAAAGUUCCUCCUUCUUCUAAUGGAUGAAGUGCCCCAGUAACUACAGGUUGCAUAUUCAUAGAGUAUCCAGAGGAAGGACUUCUAUGGCUCCAGCUCCAUCUUUCUGUGAAAUAACGGAGGCUGAACUGAUGUGAAUACACAGGUUGCAAAGUGAGUUAAAGCCAAAAAAACGACUCAAU